rnacentral:rRNA from 1 species
GACGUAGGGCGCGAGCGUUGUCCGGAUUUAUUGGCGUAAAGAGCUCGUAGGCGGUGUGUCGCGUCGGCCGUGAAAACCUGCAGCUUAACUGUGGGCUUGCGGUCGAUACGGGCAUCACUGGAGUUCGGCAGGGGAGACUGGAAUUCCUGGUGUAGCGGUGAAAUGCGCAGAUAUCAGGAGGAACACCGGUGGCGAAGGCGGCCCGCUGGGCAGGAAGACACCGCAAGGUGUCGGCUGACGCUGAGGCGCGACAGCGUGGGGAGCAAACAGG